AUGUUAUUGAUUAGCAGAAUAAAUUUUAAAACGGGUUAUAAUUUCAAUUCUAUUUCUCUUCAUUUAGGCACAUCUAGUUCCAUGAAGAAGUUGUGUGAUUUUAAAGACGGGGAGUUUUUCAAACGUGUCUACUCCUCAGAGCGACACAUGCGCAGUUCUCCAGGCUAUUGUAAAUUCUUGAGUUAUUUGCUUAAGAACUGUUUCUGCAUGGAACAUGGCUGAAUGUAGUUGCUGAUUGGAAUUUUUCCUCUGAGUAAACCGCAACGUGAGGAGACAGAGGGGGGAGUCCAAACCCCCUCUGUCAGAAGAUUUCAUCUCCCUGAGUGACAGGGAGGCAGAGGGAUUCCUCAUUAGAGCUCCAAACAAGUCUCCCCCCCAGCGGGGGCAGCGAGAGAUUCACGGCAGCCCGCGUACGGGAGGAGUUGGACGGAGCUGGAGGAAAAUCAACAACAUUCCCAAGUUACGUUGUGUGUCGUCUUUAAAGGCAGUAAGUUCAGCCGAUCCUCUUUUAAUUUAUGAAGAUAUUAAACCUAAGAUAAACAUUAAGAACCCCCCCCCCAAAAAAAACCUCUACAAUUACAGCCUGGAUAAUAUAUGCCGAAACGCUUUUAAUCCUUAGAUAAACCAUUCAAAGUUUUGUUUUUUAACAUGCUGGGGUCUUCAGUGUCUCAUUAAAAUAUACUGGAAUUGUUUCUUAUCAACUAAGAUAAGCAGGCUGGGAAGAUUAUUGGCGCCAGAUGCUUCUUUUCAACUGAGAGAAAAAAAAUUGCUUUUAACAGAGAAUGACCAUUAAAGGGCUUCUUCAGAGGACUAAGUCAUAAGUGCUGUGGAACGUGUACUGGAGGAUUGAAUCAUUGCAUCUUAAAUCUGGGAAGUUGUGAAAUAUGGUAACAAAAAAAUCAAAACUAGAAAAAGACAAACAGCCAAAAUAACAGAGGUGUGCCUUGGAAUUAGAUGCAAUGAUUUCUAUUCAUAAAAAAUUGGACUUUAUUUUUCAGGAAUUGUGUAGAUCCCUUGAAAAUCAGGGGCAGAAUUUUGAGAGAUUAAGAUAAGACCUUAAAAAUGAAAUAGGUGUCAUACGCACUGAACUUCAUGAAAUAAAGGAUAAGGCUCUGAAACUGGACA
rnacentral:lncRNA from 1 species